AUUGAACGCUGGCGGCAUGCCUAACACAUGCAAGUCGAACGGUAACAGGCCCUUCGGGGCGCUGACGAGUGGCGGACGGGUGAGUAAUGCUUAGGAAUCUGCCUAGUAGUGGGGGAUAACCCGGGGAAACUCGGGCUAAUACCGCAUACGUCCUACGGGAGAAAGCGGGGGACCGUUCGGGCCGUCGCGCUAUUAGAUGAGCCUAAGUCCGAUUAGCUAGUUGGUAGGGUAAUAGCCUACCAAGGCGACGAUCGGUAGCUGGUCUGAGAGGACGACCAGCCACACUGGGACGUGAGACACGGCCCACGACUCCUACGGGA
rnacentral:rRNA from 1 species